GAUGAAGAACGUAGCGAAAUGCGAUAAGUAAUGUGAAUUGCAGAAUUCAGUGAAUCAUCGAAUCUUUGAACGCACAUUGCGCCCCCUGGUAUUCCGGGGGGCAUGCCUGUUCGAGCGUCAUUUCACCACUCAAGCCUCGCUUGGUAUUGGGCAACGCGGUCCGCCGCGUGCCUCAAAUCGACCGGCUGGGUCUUCUGUCCCCUAAGCGUUGUGGAAACUAUUCUCUAAAGGGUGUUCGGGAGGCUACGCCGUAAAACAACCCCAUUUCUAAGGUUGACCUCGGAUCAGGUAGGGAUACCCGCUGAACUUAAGCAUAUCAAUAAGCGGAGGA
rnacentral:misc_RNA from 1 species